rnacentral:lncRNA from 1 species
CCCCCCCCCAGUUCCAGCUCCAUCAGCUCCAUCCCCGUGUCACCCCCUGGGAACCCCCCAGCUCCAUCAUAGAGCGACACCGGGACCAGAACCAGAACCAGAACCGGAACCAGAACCGGAACCGGAACCACAACAGCCCCCAUUGGUACCAUACAGACACCGGUACCAGCAAUACCAGAACCACCAACACUGGUACCACCAGAACCGGUACCAUCAGAACCGGUACCACCGGACCCAUCAUUGACGGCACCACCAGAACCGGUACCACCGGUACCACUGGACCCAUUGAGAGCACCACCAGAACCAGCCCUAUUGGUACCACCAGCCCUACCUGAACCAGCCCUACCGGAACCAGCCCUACUGGUACCACCAGCCCCAUUGCCAGCCCUACCGGAACCAGCCCCAUAGCCAGCCCUACCGGAACCAGCCCUACCGGAACCAGCCCCAUUGGUAUCACUGGACCCAUCAUAGCCAGCCCUACCAGAGCCAGCCCCAUAGCCAGCCCUACCGGAACCAGCCUCACUGGUACCGCCAGCCCCAUAGCCAGCCCUACAGGAACCAACCCCAUAGCCAUCCCUACCAGAACCAACCCCAUAGCCAGCCCUACCGGAACCAGCCUUACUGGUACCACCAGCCCCAUAGCCAGCCCUACUGGAACCAGCCCCAUAACCAGCCCUACCAGAACCAGCCCCACUGAUACCACUGGACCCAUCAUAGCCAGCCCUACUGGUACCAGCCCUAUAGCCAACCCUACCGGAACCAGCGCCACUGGUACCACCAGCCCCAUAGCCAUCCUACCGGAACCAGCCCUACUGGUACCACCAGCCCCAUAGCCAGCUCUACCAGCACCGGCCCCAUAGCCAGCCCUACCAGAACCAGCCCCACUGGUACCACCAGCCCCAUCAAAGCCAGCCCCACUGGUACCACUGGACCCAUUGUAGCCAGCCCUACUGGCACCAGCCCUACUGGUACCGCCAGCCCCAUAGCCAGCCCUACCAGAACCAGCCCCACUGGUACCACUGGACCCAUCACAGCCAGCCCUACUAGAACCAGCCCCAUAGCCAGCCCUACCAGAACCAGCCCCACUGGUACCACUGGACCCAUCACAGCCAGCCCUACCGGAACCAGCCCCACUGGUACCACCAGCCCCAUAACCAGCCCUACAGGAACCAGCCCCAUAGCCAGCCCUACUGGUACCACCAGCCCCAGAACCAGCCCCACUGGUACCACCAUCCCCAUAGCCAGCCCUACCAGAACCAGCCCCAUAGCCAGCCCUACCAGCACCA